UCGCUCCGGCUCUCGGCGAAAACAAAACAACAACAAACAAAAAAAAACACCCGAAUCUCUUCAUACGACCAUGAUGGGAGGCGAACGGGGAGUCAUGGCGGCCAGCGAGCCGGACCCGGACCCAGCUCCAGCUUAUUAACCUUGAACACGAAACUCAGGACCCGCUGAGCGACACCACCCGUGGCCGGUUCGAGGCGCUAAAGAACGAACGGACCCCACUAAAGUAACGACGAUAACAACUGACCCCAACGUGCAGUGGCGUGCAAGGCGUUUUGUGAUCUCGUGGAUGUUGUCCUGAAUGCGGAAGGCACGAAGAGGAACAACGUUCCUGACUGGAUCAGGAUCUGUCCAUCAACGUGAAUCUGGUCCCCCGUGGAGCGUGACCGGUAAUGCACGAAGGUUAACAGGAGAGGGCGCUGUGCAUCGUCGUUCAGCUGACGAGGGGAAGGAGAACAUAUGGGUGUUGGCCAAAGGCAGGACCACAGAGACACCUUCCGAAGGUGGGGAGAGAAGGAACGUGCACAUGGAAGGAGUUGUCCAAAAACCAAACCGGUGAAUUUAAGGGUUAAAGAAGGGGCGAUGAUGGAGAGACUGAGGGCAGAGGCGUGACACCACGUCAGCCGUUGUCACAGGUGGAAAGACAAUGUGGCAGAAACACAUUGUGAACAUUGUAGUCUGGGAAAGAUACAGAGGAGCUUGUGAGGAGGAGCCUCUCCCUAACCCCAGUGAAGAUCGAUGGUGUCUCUGGCACAAAGCUCAUCUACCAUCAAGAUACAGGCAAUGGGCAUGUGCUUUGGAUGAAAGGCAUUUUAGCCACAGUGUAAUGGAAAGGUUAGUGAUAAGAAACACAGUGUUUCUGUAGACUGGAGCUCCCUCCCAUUGACAAGAUAAAGCAGGAAAGUAAAAUCUUAAAGCAGGGACUAUACAACGCAACACAAAUUAUAUAGCACCUCUCACCUCAGCAGGACAUCUCAUUGUGCUUAACACAGCAGCUGAAGUUAGUUACCCAGCGCCUUUAGGGAAACUUCCCCUCAAAUCAUUUCUACGGAUGUAUAGUGUUAUGACUGUGUCUGUGUGUGUGUGGACGUGUAUAUACAUAUUGCCUCAAAGUCAAACUGUGAUGCUAAGCAGGGAGAGCAUGGUAAAACCAUCAAUGAUACAAUCAGAUUGUUUUCUGUGUCUGGGACUACAAAGAUACUCUUAUCUUAAUUCCUGGAAUUUUAUUAAAACUCAUCUUGGGUGGGGAAAUCCCCAAAGAGAUCCUAAUCUUCCUCUAAAUCUCCGUACUGGCACACAGGAGAUCAUUAUGAAUCGCUCAGAAGCAUAACUUGUUCCUCAUUGGGUUUCUGCAGUAGUUGGUUGCUGUCGCUCGUUCAGUGAUGGGACAUGUGUUAGAGAACCUGUAUUCCUUGAUUGGAAUUGCUUACAUCAAUAAUAAUAUUCCUUGCAU